rnacentral:rRNA from 1 species
AACGAACGCUGGCGGCAGGCUUAACACAUGCAAGUCGAGCGCCCCGCAAGGGGCGCGGCAGCCGGGUGAGUAACGCGUGGGAACGUACCUUUUGGUUCGGAACAACUCCGGGAAACUGGAGCUAAUACCGGAUAAGCCCUAACGGGGAAAGAUUUAUCGCCGAAAGAUCGGCCCGCGUCUGAUUAGCUAGUUGGUGAGGUAACGGCUCACCAAGGCGACGAUCAGUAGCUGGUCUGAGAGGAUGAUCAGCCACACUGGGACUGAGACACGGCCCAGACUCCUACGGGAGGCAGCAGUGGGGAAUAUUGGACAAUGGGCGCAAGCCUGAUCCAGCCAUGCCGCGUGAGUGAUGAAGGCCUUAGGGUUGUAAAGCUCUUUUGUCCGGGAAGAUAAUGACUGUACCGGAAGAAUAAGCCCCGGCUAACUUCGUG